rnacentral:rRNA from 1 species
AGCUUGCUAUCUUCGCCGGCGAGCGGCGGACGGGUGAGUAAUACCUGGGGAUCUGCCCAAUCGAGGGGGAUAACAGUUGGAAACGACUGCUAAUACCGCAUACGCCCUACGGGGGAAAGGAGGGGACCUUCGGGCCUUCCGCGAUUGGAUGAACCCAGGCGGGAUUAGCUAGUAGGUGAGGUAAUGGCUCACCUAGGCGACGAUCCCUAGCUGUUCUGAGAGGAUGGACAGCCACACUGGAACUGAGACACGGUCCAGACUCCUACGGGAGGCAGCAGUGGGGAAUAUUGGACAAUGGGGGAAACCCUGAUCCAGCCAUGCCGCGUGUGUGAAGAAGGCCUUCGGGUUGUAAAGCACUUUCAGUGGGGAGGAAAGGUUGAUGGUUAAUACCUAUCAGCUGUGACGUUACCCACAGAAGAAGCACCGGCUAACUCCGUGCCAGCAGCCGCGGUAAUACGGAGGGUGCAAGCGUUAAUCGGAAUUACUGGGCGUAAAGCGUGCGCAGGCGGUCUGUUAAGCGAGAUGUGAAAGCCCCGGGCUCAACCUGGGAACUGCAUUUCGAACUGGCAGACUAGAGUCUUGUAGAGGGGGGUAGAAUUCCAGGUGUAGCGGUGAAAUGCGUAGAGAUCUGGAGGAAUACCGGUGGCGAAGGCGGCCCCCUGGACAAAGACUGACGCUCAGGCACGAAAGCGUGGGGAGC